rnacentral:antisense_RNA from 1 species
CUUGAGGGAGCCCAGCCACAACGGCCGGUCGGGGGCGCGCUCUUGGCCGUACGUGGCGAGCAGCGCCUGUGCCUC